rnacentral:lncRNA from 1 species
AACGAUCCAAAUUCAGCAAAUCAACUUGCUUAUUUUUUUCUGUGCAGCAACCUUCAUCUUUGUCAUCGCUUGGCAUCACGCGGGUGAACGCCCUUGAACGCGGGCAAGGCGCGAAUACAAAUACGAGACACUAAACCCGGUGGAUCCACCAACGAAGGGUUCUGAAUCUCUUCUUCCCUACAGGUAAUAGGUUCCUCCUUCUGAAUUUGCUUAUUGAUUUAUGUUCUAAGUUCUCUUGCAUAAAAUUUAUACCGUUGAAAACUUUGCUGCUGAAAUCUCAAAACUUAGAUUUAUUCAUUUCCACCCAUCCUACCAACCCUUUUAAAAUCUUUGUUAUUAAAUUAGCACACUCUAGCAACGGAAAGUUUCUCAACAUCCCACGAUCAAAUUACUUUUAGAUCAGAACAGCCAUAAUACUCGUUUGUAACCUAAUCUCUUAAAUUGAUUAAUCUCAUACCUUAACUCUGAAUAACUGAAGUAAAAAUCAGCAACCAUUAAAUUUUAAGUUACUCUUGUGAACGCUUGCUGAUCUCUGAAAUCAUAGUAGGUUGCAUUGGUAGGUUGUCCUGCAUCAUAUCAAUGUAUUAUGAUAUAAUGUAACAUAUAAUUAUAUUUAUAGUAUAAUACAAUAAUAAAGAUAUAAAAUAAUAUAAUUAUUAGCAUGCAUUAUAUUUUCAUAAUACAACAAAUUUUCUAGCUAGGUGAUAAAAUUGGUUAAAUAAUUAUUAAAGAGACAUUUUGUGUAAUUGUUAUAUUUUAUUACGGAUAUUUUGGUAAAGAAAAA